GCUCCAUGCAAUAAUUGCGACAACGAUUGAGCAUAACCUACAAGGAUAAAAUUGCAAGUUUUGCACCCAUGAUGGGGAUUAUUGGUGAAUCAUAUCAAAUAAUAAGCAAAUUAUCAAUAUCCUAUAAUCUAUAAUAAAUCGGUCAUUUCUGCUUAUAAAAGAACGUUAUUUAAAAGCAAGCAUACUUACUACCUGCAAGUCCAUCAGCAGCCUCCCCCGCUGGUAGUAGCAGCUUAACUCUCUCUAGAUAGUGCAUGUCUACAUAGCUUUCUUCUUCAACCCUGAGUCAUUGUCAUAGAAUAUCAUCAUAUUUCUGUACAAGUAGACUCACAAAGAGCAUAUUCUUUCUUUCCCUGGCAAAUUAGAAUGGCAGCAGGAAGAAAUGUAAUCUAGAUUGAUUCAAAAUGAAGAGUCAAAGAUGUUAAUUGCCUCAAUGUCUAGGAUUCAAAGCUUUCCAGAAUCCACACACCAAUUCAAAGAUCCAACAAACCAUCUUCAUUUGCAU
rnacentral:lncRNA from 1 species